GAUGCUAAUGACAUAUCUUAGCAUUAAUCGUAUUUAAUUUAAAUAUAAAUUAGCCAAUAUCACAAGCUUAACUAAGAAGUCUUUUAUCUCGUCCUUAGGAGAUAUGUGGCGUCGUGGGAAUGGCGGAUGAAAAUUCGUAAGGGCAAAAUCGAUUUUGGAUCGAGUUUCACUUUCCUCAUCUCUUCUGUUCUCUCUCACGGCGAUUGAAAAGGGGAUUUUGUCUCAACGACGCAUCUCCUCUCUGACGGUUCUCCUCCCGGCGGAUCUCCUCCCGAGACAUCUCCUCCCGACUCUGAAUCUCUCGACGGUUCUCUCGACGGAUCUGUUGACGGUUCUGUCGACGGUUCUCCUCUCUCAUCAACAUCGUAUUCCGUGAUUCGAAGGUGAAAGGGUGAGGUGAGGUUCAACUACAAUAACCCGGUUUCUAUUAGUAAACAGCUCUAAGAGAAACAACCAUUUCGUCCACAGCUCAAGAUUUCGGUUUCUAUUCUCUUAUCACUUCUCUCUUCUUAAUCCUAUGGAUCCAAGGAUUCCGUACAGCCAGUCUGCUGGUUAUAUUGGCCUUCUUCACAGUCAACACGAAAGUGUUCAUCAUGAGAAGCAUUCAUUAUUUGCUAAAACCCAAAAAUCUGUGCGAAAAGAUGUGGAGCGUGCCUUUGGAGUGCUGCAAGCUAGAUUUGCGUUUGUCAGAAAUCCCUCGAAUUUAUGGGAUAAGGACAAAAUUGGAAAUAUUAUGAGAGCAUGUAUCGUCCUCCAUAAUAUGAUUGUCGAGGAUGAACGAUCAUCAUCCACUCAGUAUACGGUCGAUGAAUUUCAAGAAAGAGAAGAGGUGGAUACAUUUCCAUCAAUAUGGCUUCAAAUCUCGGCAAUUCGAUUGAUCGUCGAACAAGCGUUCGGAAUAGACAAGCCCAUCAGAAUUUAAAAAACGAUUUGAUUGAAAAUAUAUGAGCUAAAUUUGGACAUCUUCCAAAUAACAUAUAAUUUAUAAGUUUAUAUAAAUUGAAUAAAAUGUUUGUUUCCUUUUAUUUAUUAUUUGUUAUUUUUUUAACUUUGUAAUUUUCAUAUGUUUUCAAUUUUAAUGUUAAACUUCUCUUUUAUAUGUUUUAUUAAAAAGUUAUCCUUUAUAUCUCAUUACACAUUAAAAUAAAUAUUUUAUUUACUAAGAUACAAGACAAGUUUUACCAAUAAUCUACAAAAUUACAAAUGUCCUUAAACUUUGUUCCUAACUUAAAAAUAUUAAUAAAAUAUCAUAAGGACUUGUUUUUUGUCCCACCAAUAAUGUUGCCCUUCGAGCGCACACUAUUAAUUGGACGCGUGGCAGGUGAUUAACCCACCGAUUCGCUCGCUUCUUCUUUCUGUUUAUAAUACUAGGGGCUGUACGCGUGGAUUAUGUCUAUAUGAGUUUCCAGUUUCCACCACAUUGGUAAGAGAAGAAUUAAGGAUGGGUAUUCUCAUAUCCAUUAGAAUUUGGUUUGGAUCUAUUCGAGUUUUUAAUUUUUGAAACUAAAGAUUUCAAUUUUAUUCAUGCAUUUGCGGGUUGUGUUCAGAUACCAUUUAGCCUUUGAUUUUUUUUAAAAAAAAAUUAGGGUUGCUAAAGUGACUGCUUGUCUCCUAUUGAAUCGAAUUUGAUCUUCUUUGAA